GCCGGAGUGGCGGAAUCGGCAGACGCGGGGGACUUAAAAUCCUCUGGGCUUUGCCCGUGCGGGUUCGACUCCCGCCUCCGGCA
rnacentral:tRNA from 1 species